rnacentral:rRNA from 1 species
CAAUAGCGUAUAUUAAAGUUGUUGCAGUUAAAAAGCUCGUAGUUGGAUCUGUGGUGUGCGGUGGGCUCCGGGCACUUGUUGUCUGAGUAGCUCGCCGCUGCCAUCCUUGGGUGGAACCUGUGUGGCAUUAGGUUGUCGUGCAGGGGAUGCCCAUCGUUUACUGUGAAAAAAUUAGAGUGUUCAAAGCAGGCUUAUGCCGUUGAAUAUAUUAGCAUGGAAUAAUGAGAUAGGACUUUUUCGCUAUUUUGUUGGUUUGCGCGAAGAGGUAAUGAUUAAUAGGGACAGUUGGGGGUAUUCGUAUUCCAUUGUCAGAGGUGGAAUUCUUGGAUUUUUGGAAGACGAACUACUGCGAAAGCAUUUACCAAGGAUGUUUUCAUUAA